rnacentral:rRNA from 1 species
UACGUAGGGUGCGAGCGUGUCCGGAAUUAUUGGGCGUAAAGAGCUCGUAGGCGGUUUGUCGCGUCGGACUGUGAAACCCCGAGGCUUAACCUCGGGCCUGCAGUCGAUACGGGCAGACUAGAGUUCGGUAGGGGAGACUGGAAUUCCGGUUCUAGCGGUGAAAUGCGCAGACUAUCAGGAGGAACACCGGUGGCGAAGGCGGGUCU